rnacentral:rRNA from 1 species
UCUAUCCUACGGGGGGCAGCAGUGAGGAAUAUUGGUCAAUGGUCGGGAGACUGAACCAGCCACGCCGCGUGAGGGAGGAAGGUACAGAGUAUCGUAAACCUCUUUUGUCAGGGAACAAAGACUGGGACGCGUCCCCGGAUGAGUAUACCUGAAGAAAAAGCAUCGGCUAACUCCGUGCCAGCAGCCGCGGUAAUACGGAGGAUGCGAGCGUUAUCCGGAUUUAUUGGGUUUAAAGGGUGCGCAGGCGGUCUGUUAAGUCAGCGGUCAAAGCCCGGGGCUCAACCCCGGCCCGCCGUUGAAACUGG